AGAAAUCUCGACAGAGUAUGAAACUUUACAAAAGCUUAGGCUCUAGCAUAUUCGCAUCAGAAUAAAAUAACAAAUGAAAUCCGUCAUCACUGUGCAUGGCAACAACCCAAGUCAUUUAAUUUCAACUUGCUUGAUAUUAAGGAAAAUCAAUGUAUCCAUUUCAAAUAUUUGUGCCAUCUUGGUUCGGUAAACAUGGAUAGCCUUGGGGCGUGGCUUGAAAUCCUGAUGUAUGAACAUUAUUAGUCAAACAAGAGACAUUCAAUUGAUGGGGUGAAAUUGUUUAACCAUGUGCAUUACCUUUGCAUUGAGCAUAAGAUGAUUGGCAGUCAUCGGGACGCAGUUGGAGAACUGUAAUUGUUGUGUAAAUGCAAUGCUUUGGUUGUUACCCUAUAUGAAACAAGCUUCAGUGAAGCACAUUUGUAUUGAGACAAAUAAAUCAUAUAAAUAUGCUUACCGUUAGUAUUUAUGAAAAAGAAAAGGGUAUAUGCGAUGAAUAUGGUGCUUGUUAAGGUGGUUGAAUGAUGUUUGCACCAUCCCCCAUAUUAUUUGAACAUGGCUUCGGUAUCUUUCCUUUGUUUGAACUUGAACUUCCGUACAUGACGUUCUAAGUUAAUAAUUAUGUAUGCUCAAAAUAUAACAUUAUUGAAAACAAAACUUCGAAACACACCUUUGCUGUAGUUAAAAUCGAUUCCAACAAGCUCUUUUCCAAAGCUCCUAGGCGCCCCCUUUCUCUUCACACAUUUUGGAUCGUUCACAAUGCCGCUGCCAAUAUUGUGUGAUGUUCUAUCUAGGUUAUGUGCGGGGAAAUGACAUUUCUCCUACAACUUGAAUUCGAUAUCAGUAUCUAUUUACACUGAUGUUCAAUCCACUCCAACAGUGAACUAGCUGUGACAACAUUAUCUGCAGACAAGUUUGCCAACUUUGUAAAAGAUUGACACAAUUUGUCAUACAUCAACUGUUAAAGAGUAUUAAUCAAUCCAUCUAGUUCACUACAACCCUUGUAUGGUCUCUAUUCACAUCUCUCCGCCAUCUCCAUAAGAUAUAUCGGUUAGGCAGUACUUUCACAUCAUUACUGACCAACACUGCGAUUGCAUGCCUACAUAGUAUUCCUCGGACUUGAAUAGGUGGCAUCUGAAAAAUAAUUUCACAUGUUUCUAGCUAAAAUGAGACAAAGAAUGUUUUUUUCUUUGAAUGUUCAUCAUAAAUGAUAUCCUCCCAUACCUCGUCCGUCAUCCCCAAAUAUUCAUCAAAAAUAGAUAUGAAGUCACAAUAAACCUUCCCAGUGAACUCCUGAACUUCCCUAAAUUUUGAAAUUGUGUAAACCGCCUGAAAUUGCUUCUCUAUUUCAUACCUUGUUGCACAUGGUACCAUUUGCGAGUACGACUUGAAAUUUGCUUGGAACUCUUUCACGACCUUAUUUCCGAAUGCUUUUCCAUAUCAUUCAAUAAAUUGCUUCAACAAUGUCUUUGAAUGUACAUACCCAUCGAAAAACGAACUUAUACUCUCAAUUCUUUGGGUUAUUGACAUCCUUGUCCAGAAUGUGAUUUUUAAAUAGCAGGGAAUACAAUGACAUCCGUUAUCAUACAAACCCAAUAACCAAUCGUUAUCAUGCAAUUUGUAGACAUCGAUCAUCGAUCUCCAGCCUUCUUCAAAUUGUUCAACAAAUUGAGAAUCAUAAACUAAUCCAUGUAUAGUAUGAAAUAUAAAACCCUUGUCAACAUGGUAUCCAAACAUUUUCGGUAACUUUUGAAAUAUAUACCACUAAAAUCAUCUAUGCUUCGUAUUUGGGAACACGAUCUAAAUUACACUUUACAUAGCCCUAUCCUAAUUGGUAAUUAUCCCAUAUAGAGCUUAGUUGUGCACGCACUCCAGCCAUGUCCUAAACAGCCAUACAAAUGUAUCUGUAUCCUCAUUUGACACCAAACCACAUCCAAAUAGUGUCGACUAUCCGUGAUGGUUCACUCCAACAAAAGGAAUGUCAUACUUACUAGUCAGGUAAGUGGUAUUGAAUGUCACAACAUCGCCAAACUCUUGAUAUGCUUGUCUACUCCUGUUAUCUGUCCAGAAUACAUUUUUUGGUCUUGACACAUCAUCCAAAUCCAUAAUAAAGUAAAACCCCAAGCAGCUUCCUUGCAUUUUUGAAAAGUACGAUUGUAUUACGACAGUGUCUCCUUCUCCAAGCCUUAACCACCGAACUUGUCCUACAUAUUUUCGACAAUCCUUUUCCACGAAAGUCACAUUCUCAUAUCCACCUGCUUCAACUAUUGUAAAAUUAUUACUUUGUGCAACGAAAUUCCUGUAAUAUCAUUUACUUCAAGCCACUAUUUAACUUGUGCACUCUGUUCUCGAUUGCAGUGAUACAACCUUGACUUGGAUGGGCUUGUUCUAUGAUUAUGUUCGAGGUGUACUGUGUUAAUUCUCCAAAUUCCAUGACAGUUUGUAGAUGUAGUUAGCCUUGCUUUACAACCUGUCUAAAUAUUUGCUUGUGGUUUCAAUGAAUCAAUUGUAGUACUACUUCUUUUCCCUUCGCAACUAUACGUCAAAGUAACAUAUCGCAUAACCUCGUCAUCGUAACAACUGCACCAUCUCUGCUAACAAUUUCACCCCCCAAUAAGUUUAGAUCGUCUAUAACAUUCUCAUUAUCGGAUUCCACCAAAUUAAUGUCAUCCACAUUUUGCAAACUUUCUUUCCCUGUGACAUGAUACAAAUUAUAACGUUAAAACAAAAUUCUGUGAACUAAUUUUCAAUUGAUACAGGAUAUUUAGUCGAUACCAUUUCUCAUCCACUUAAGAAGAAAACCAAAUUUCAGAUUUGAACCAGCAUUUACAAUAAAGUCACAAGAUUGAGAUUAACAAUCACUGAACUGAAAUGUUUAACCAUCAAAGAACGCAUUUUUAGACACAGGUAAGAGUCAGUCACAAAGAGUGGUAUGAUUCUACUAGAUAGAAUAGGCGCUAAAGAUGGUUAACUACUCUUCUUAGUUUUGCCUAAGAUUUCAGCUAGAUCGGUGAACCCAUUGCAUUUCAUACAGUCAUAAACUACAAAAGCAAAUUGAUUGUACAAAAACGAAAUUACCUUUGUUUGUCACCAUCUUUGACUUUAUGACGAAGGGUUGGUCGGUGGAAGUCAGCUGGCUUGGCCGAUGUG
rnacentral:lncRNA from 1 species